UCUCUUUUUAUUCACCUCGUUUCCAAUCUAAAGAUUUAGCUUUUAGCUGAUGCCUAAAAGACAUUAAAAUAGUACUCAAUAAUAAUAUUAGACAAAAGACAGCUGCUAGACUUUAUGGGAGUUUGGCAGCCUACCAUUCUCACAUUGAUCUCUUUCACCCCCCAAAUCACUGCAAGGGAGCAAGACAUUUUCGUGAACCUGACAUGACAGUAGCAGUCUAAAAACUCUGUAAACUUGGUCUUUUCUAGACCAUUGACUUCCAAACAUUUCCAAUACGGUCUCACAGAAAUGCAUUUUACAACACAAACUAGUCCACAUAGCAACAGAAAGAUAUAUAACUGCUAGGGGCUACUUGGGGGCUCAUUGUUAACAAUGGCUCUUUCUGCUGACCCAUGAGAUGGACCACCUUGCUCAGGCGACAUCCUGACUUCACUGAUGGAGCAGACUUUCUCAAGACCACGAGACCCUUCCCCCCUCACCGUGGGAAACCACACACCUCCAGCUUUCUCAGGAUUAUGAGACCACCCUACCAGAAGACAUCUUCGAUUUUCUGAUGACUACGUGACCACCAGAGAUCAGCUACAGGACCAGGCAGCAAGUGAAGAUGGAUGCUGAUUCUUUCAACUAAUCACUCUGAACACCUCUCUUCUGCAAAUACAUCAAGAAAGGCACUUUGGGGAGCGUAAACUAGCAGAGAAGACUGAAAUGCACAAAACUAAGUUCAACAAGCAGAGGAACAGGCUGAGGGAUGAAGAGUAAGCAGCAAGGAAAAGUAACCUUUGCAAUGGCCCAAGCAAAGUCACAAAGGUGGAGCUGCAAGAGGCUUGAAGUGGUUUGAUUCCCAUGCCUGUGCUGUAUUUUCUUACAGAUGAUGGUAAUA